rnacentral:rRNA from 1 species
AGAGUUUGAUCCUGGCUCAGGAUGAACGCUGGCGGCGUGCUUAACACAUGCAAGUCGAACGAAGUCUUCGGACUUAGUGGCGGACGGGUGAGUAACGCGUGAGGAUCUGCCCUUAGGUUGGGGACAACCACUGGAAACGGUGGCUAAUACCCAAUGUGCCGAGAGGUGAAAGGUUAACUGCCUGAGGAUGAACUCGCGUCUGAUUAGCUAGUUGGUGAGGUAAAGGCUCACCAAGGCGACGAUCAGUAGCUGGUCUAAGAGGAUGAUCAGCCACACUGGGACUGAGACACGGCCCAGACUCCUACGGGAGGCAGCAGUGGGGAAUUUUCCGCAAUGGGCGAAAGCCUGACGGAGCAACGCCGCGUGAGGGAGGAAGGCCUUAGGGUUGCAAACCUCUUUUCUCAGGGAAGAAGUACUGACGGUACCUGAGGAAUAAGCCUCGGCUAACUUCGUGCCAGCAGCCGCGGUAAGACGGAGGAGGCAAGCGUUAUCCGGAAUUAUUGGGCGUAAAGCGUCCGCAGGCGGUUAGUUAAGUCUGUUGUCAAAGGUCACAGCUCAACUGUGGAUCGGCAAUGGAAACUGGUUAACUUGAGUGUGGUAGGGGUAGAGGGAAUUCCCGGUGUAGCGGUGAAAUGCGUAGAUAUCGGGAAGAACACCAGUGGCGAAGGCGCCCUACUGGGCCACAACUGACGCUGAGGGACGAAAGCUAGGGGAGCGAAAGGGAUUAGAUACCCCUGUAGUCCUAGCUGUAAACGAUGGAUACUAGGUGUUGCGCGUAUCGACCCGUGCAGUACCGUAGCUAACGCGUUAAGUAUCCCGCCUGGGGAGUACGCACGCAAGUGUGAAACUCAAAGGAAUUGACGGGGGCCCGCACAAGCGGUGGAGGAUGUGGUUUAAUUCGAUGCAACGCGAAGAACCUUACCAAGGCUUGACAUGUCGCGAAUCUUUCAGAGAUGAGAGAGUGCCUUCGGGAGCGCGAACACAGGUGGUGCAUGGCUGUUGUCAGCUCGUGUCGUGAGAUGUUGGGUUAAGUCCCGCAACGAGCGCAACCCUCGUUUUUAGUUGCCAUCAUUCAGUUGGGCACUCUAGAGAGACUGCCGUGGACAACACGGAGGAAGGUGGGGACGACGUCAAGUCAUCAUGCCCCUUACGUCUUGGGCUACACACGUCCUACAAUGCUACGGACAGAGGGCAGCAAGCCAGCGAUGGUUAGCAAAUCCCAUAAACCGUAGCUCAGUUCAGAUUGCAGGCUGCAACUCGCCUGCAUGAAGGCGGAAUCGCUAGUAAUCGCAGGUCAGCAUACUGCGGUGAAUACGUUCCCGGGCCUUGUACACACCGCCCGUCACACCAUGGGAGUUGGCCACGCCCGAAGUCGUUACUCUAACCGUUCGCGGAGGAGGGCGCCGAAGGCAGGGCUGAUGACUGG